GAUGAACGCUGGCGGCGUGCCUAAUACAUGCAAGUCGAGCGAACGGACGAGAAGCUUGCUUUUCUGAUGUUAGCGGCGGACGGGUGAGUAACACGUGGAUAACCUACCUAUAAGACUGGGAUAACUUCGGGAAACCGGAGCUAAUACCGGAUAAUAUUUUGAACCGCAUGGUUCAAAAGUGAAAGACGGUCUUGCUGUCACUUAUAGAUGGAUCCGCGCUGCAUUAGCUAGUUGGUAAGGUAACGGCUUACCAAGGCAACGAUGCAUAGCCGACCUGAGAGGGUGAUCGGCCACACUGGAACUGAGACACGGUCCAGACUCCUACGGGAGGCAGCAGUAGGUAAUCUUCCGCAAUGGGCGAAAGCCUGACGGAGCAACGCCGCGUGGGUGAUGAAGGUCUUCGGAUCGUAAAACUCUGUUAUUAGGGAAGAACAUAUGUGUAAGUAACUGUGCACAUCUUGACGGUACCUAAUCAGAAAGCCACGGCUAACUACGG
rnacentral:rRNA from 1 species